UUGCUUAUAACCUAAAUAAUUUUCAAAUCGUUGAAACUGAUAACCAUAGGAUGAAAAUCUUUGCUUGGAAUGUCCACGGAUUUGGGAAUAAGGAUACUAGGCAGCACCUAGGGGAGUUAAUUAGAGCCAAUGAUCCUGAUAUUAUUUUUCUGUCUGAAACCAAAUUGAUGAAUGCUAAAAUGGAAAAAUUUACCUAUAGGUUCAAUUACAUGAAUUACCUUUAUGUGAACCCAAUUGGUGCCUCUUGUGGUCUUUUUUUUGUUAUGGAAAGAUGGAAUACACAUUGAUGUUGUGGACAUGAAUAUAAUUUUUAUCUCUGUUUUAGUGAAUAUGGACUCUAGAAGUGGUCAUACUCUUCUUAAUUGUAUGUAUGGAGCUUUGGAUGACUUAGGUUGGGAUAGACAAUGGGACUAUUUAGACCAACUAGAAAAUAUGUAUAUUUGUCCUUGGGUAAUCAUAGGAGAUUUAAACUUCAUUAUUAGACAGGAGGAAAAAGUUGGUGGUAACAGAAUUCCUCAAAGUCAGCUUGAUAAUGCUAAAUUCCAUCUGGAUCACCUAGGUCUCUCUGAUUUGAACUUUGUAGGGAACCCAUUUACCUGGAGUAACCAUAGAAGUGGGGAAGCUCUUAUUCCUGAGAGGUUGGAUAGGGUCUUAGUUAACUCUGAGUGGUUAGAGUUGUUUCCUAAGGCUAUAGUUUAUCAUUUGGUUGAAGUUGCUAGUGACCACAGUCCCAUUUUGUUGAUUAAUUCUAGUGAGGAUAAUACUUCUAGAAGACCUCUUAGGUUUAAUAGGUGUUGGUUCAGUGAUAAUUCUUGUAAAUAUAUUAUUGCUAGUAAUUGGAACACUAAUGAAAGAGGUUCUAAAGCUUUCAAGCAUGCUAAAUGUUUGUAUAAUGUGAAGGUUGCUCUUAGAAAUUGGAACUUACAUUGUUUUGGGAACUUUCAGUAUCAUAUAAAUGCUAUUCAGAAACAAUUUGAAGAUGUCUCUCUUAAUAUGCAUGAUAUAUAAUGCUUGUAUUACUUUGAAGAAGAGUCUUGAAGAGUCUCUAAAAUAUUGGUAUAGUGUGAAACAAGACUACUAUAUGCAGAGAGCUAGAGAAAAUAUUUUAACCUUUGAUGAUAAAAAUACCAAAUAUUUUCAUGAUAAAGUUAAUUUUAGGAAAAGAAGGACUCAAAUAGACUGUUUGCAAAGUAGUAUUGGCAUAUGGUUGACUGAUAAGAAUAGGAUAGCUAAUGAGCUUAGAGAGCACUUCUGUAAAAUUAGUAGAACAACCAAUCCUCCUAGGGACAGGGGUCUUCUGGAUGUUUUGACUCCUUGUAUUAAUUCUGAAGAAAAUAAUUUUCUUAUCAGGCCUCCUUCUGAUGAGGAAAUUAGGGCCAUUGUUUGGCAGAUGCAGCCAUGGACUAGUCCUGGACCAGAUGGGUACCCUCCAGGAUUUUAUUAAAAGAUGUGGGAAACUAUAGGUGCUGAUACUGUUGAUAUGGUCAAGAGUUUCUUUCAUUCUGGUCAUAUGCUUAAACAAAUGAACCAUAAUUUUCACUACACCAUAUUCAGGUUUUUGCAAGGCCGGAAUAUUUUGGUUGCAACGAAUAUAAUUGUUGCAGAUGGAGCAACGCAAAUAUACGUUGCACAAUAGGAUUUCCGUUGCUUUAUUUAUAAAUUAACUUUUAGGAAUUGAGUAUAAUUUGUGCACCGUUGAUAUAGGUUGCAAUCCUGCGGUUAAUAUAAAUUGCGUUGUUUUCAAGGGUUUUAGAAUUAAUAUUGUUAUUUUUUAUUUAUCUCAAACUCGUGAAGUAUUAGAAAUGAAUAUCACCACACACUCGUUUUGUUUCUUCUCUUCUUCGUAGACCCAACUCUGAAAUCCCACAGAUCCAACCUCUACUCUCACAAUCAAAGACUAAUCCAAACCUCAUCUCAAAAUCAAAACCCAUGUGUCAGAUCUAAAAGAAAGCCCCUCUUUUGUAACCCUAGAUUUAGAUUAUUUGUUCGUAAAACCAAAAGCAAAUUCUCAUCUAAGUUUAGUUUUCUUGUUCAUAUGCAAACACCUCUCAUCAUCGAAUCAAGUCUGAUUUCAAAAAUUAAACCUAACCGCAUCUUUGAAUCAAAACCCAUCUCAGAAUCAGAACCAUAAUCCUUUAACAUCUCCUAAAUUUUGUAACCCUAGACGUAGUUGAUUUUUCUCCUGAAAUCGAAGCAAACCCUCAUCUCAUAUUCGACGGAGCUGAAAGUACAAGAAGAAGAUUUCACCUGGCAGGACAUGAUUGGAUUCGUAAUGGUAGUGGGUGAGUUGAGGGAAACGAGGAUAGUGAAGCAUCUGCAACUGCAUCGAGUCAUCUUGUAUGUUAGGCCUUUGCUGAGACUGUUUGUAGCUCAGUUUUUGGUUCUGCCAGGGGUUUUACUGAUAUGCUAGUUCAACACAUCCCUUCUGCCAAAGAAGCUGCAGCGAGGAAACUAGAGCAUGUAUAUAGUGGGCCUCGAGAUUCAUCGGUUUUUGACUCAAUGGAGAGAUCUAAUGGUUAAUGUGACCAAACUCUACCCUAAAUCAGAUUGCAAUAUCUUUGAUGUUCUUUGUAGAGUUUACAGUGGUGAGAUACAGACUGGACAGACUGCGUGUACUGGGAGAAGGUUAUUCACCGGAUGAUGAAGAGGAUAUAACCGUAAAAGAAAUAAUGAAGUUGUGGGUUUACCAAGCUCGUGGUUUCACAUCUAGUUGGUGGUGUGCAGGUAGCAGAUCUUGUUGUUUCAUUUUGCAAGACGGUGGUGGAGUCCUCUUCGACGAAAUGUUUCGACGAAACACCCAACAAAAAGAACAAGAUAACCAUGAUUGCUGAGUCACUAGAGAAAGGAUUGGCAGAGGAUAUUGAAAAUGGUGUUGUAAGCAUUGAUUGGCCUCGGAAGAGACUUACCAAUUUUUUCAUGUCAUCAAAUUAUAGCUGGGAUAUUCUUGCAUCAAGAGGUGUUUGGGUCUUUGGGCCAGGUAAGCAGGAUCCAAUGGGGACCUAUCAGAAAUGUGAAGUUCAAGAUUGAACCCAUACAUCGAGGCACUGGUCAGAUUAUAUAUUCCAACUGCUCGACGGGCUGCAUAUUCAGCUUUCCUCAUGGCUACUCCACGUCUUAUGGAACCUGUAUACUAUGUUGAGAUACAAACCCCAAUAGAUUGUGUAUCUGCCAUCUAUACGGUGUUGUCUGAUCAACGUGGUCAUGCUACGGCUGAUGUUCCUCAGAUUGGUACGCCAGCUUAUAUCAUAAAGGUCGGUUAUAAAACUCUACUUCUCAUGAUGUAAAUCAAAUGCACUAGUUGGGCUUCAAAAAGUUCAGUCGAGAUCAAGCCAUUCAUUCGACAUCUCAUAAAGACCAUUCCAAAUCCUAGGAUGCUUGUCCAAGGCAUUGCAUGUAGUUGCCAUGGUUACUAGCACCAGCAGAAAGAACACUACUUCCCACUAAGAAGUUUUUUAUUUGUUCCAGUACUUUGCUUAACCCAAUUUCCUGUUCGAUGUUGUAUAUGAUAAUAUAGAGUGAGUUACCUGGUUAUUGUCAGGUUUACAUGUCAGUCUAAACUUAUAAUGAUCUAUGCAGAUAAUACUUUACUUUGCAGUAGAUUUUUUACGGGGGGAAAAGAGAACACAACUACAAGAAAGCUAAAACCUUUGUUCAGAACACUUUUCGAGUUAAUGUUUAUGGUAUCUGACUUCUUAUAUGAGGAUGAUGCAUAACUUUCUGUUUAUGUGCCAAAGUUAAUUGGUGUUUGAACUUGUUCAUGAGAUAGUUAGCUUAACUGGUCCGACGUUUUUGAAGGAGUAUUGUUGAAUAUCUGGAGAUUAUCUGGGGAGUACUGCGUGCUUGUGGUAUUAUCACUAGUAUAACUCAUAUCCUAUCAACUGUGAUAGAAGGGAUCGAUGGGUUCAAUCUGCAGCAGACACGGCCAAGGACCAUGAAGUUGAUACCAACAAAAACGCGUAGGUGUCAUUCCUACACUGAAGAGAUAAUACUCAUCUCUAUCCUUAAUUGUCUUUAUCUUUUUAUUUUACUUGUAUAUAACUGGUCUCUGAUUUCCUUGUGAUUGGGUUCUUGAAUCAUCUAGAACCUAUAUCUCUAAAUCUCUAAUUUCGUCAGCUCAGUAUUCUCUAUUGUGAGAUGUGCUCCUUAGUGUGCUAACUGGAUACUUUUUUUCUUUCUCUAUUUAGUUAUUAUAGCAGCAGUUUGGGCUAUUACUACGACCCUAAAUCAGUUUGUGCAGAGUUGUAUGCACUUUCAUAUAAAUAAUGAUUGCAUGUUUCGAUUUUUGGGCAGCAAUAACUACUAUUAUUGUCCAUCAUAAAUAACUUUUAGCACGACUCCGGGCCUGCGUAUAAGUUCUUAUCUAUACUGCUACUUCUUUUGUUCUGCGUUUGAGAUUUAUUCAAUUACAGGUUUGAAGUACAUCAAAUAUAUAUAAUGUUGACUUUUCAUCUUAUAUACUAUUAUAGUCCCGAUUCUAAAUUUUUUUACCAUAGAUUUUGCAUUUGAUCAGCUAAUACUUUGAAAACUGUUUGUCUGUGUGUUUACGGGUGACAAUUUUUUCAAGUGUGCAAGCUAAAAGUGAAAGCUUUUUGUGUUGAACCUUUUUCGGAAGCAAAGGAUGAGCUCAGGGAUGUCGUAGCUUUCAAAAGCGCAAGCUAAUUUUAGAGGACUUCAGUCAUCAGGUCUCGAUGUGAUAUUUUGAAAAUUCACUUAAGAAGAAUGAACCUGAUAUCUGGAAUUAAUUUGAAGAAGAUAUUGCAUAGAAGAUGGGCAGGGCAUCUGGCAUGGAGCUAAAGUAUACAUGUUCUUGAAGUCAAGCAAGGGUGGUCUGUUAGGGCCAGGGGAGAGCAUUAUAUUGAACUUUACCACCAGACAACCAAAGCGCGCCAAGUAAUUACUUUGUUGAGUUCUUUUUGAUUUUAUAUCCUCUGAACCGUAACUUAAACUAGAGUGUUAUGUUUUAGUUAUGCCCAUAAACUAUUGAACUUUUGUAUCAACUUGAAGUGAUUAUAGAACUGUCCUGUGCAUGCUUCAAACCUUGUUAUGUAUAUUGUAAUUUCUUCCAUAUGGACAAAUUAGUUCUUCUUUUCA